UACGUAGGUGACAAGCGUUGUCCGGAUUUACUGGGCGUAAAGAGCGCGCAGGCGGUCGAUCAAGUCGAGUGUGAAAGCCCCCGGCUCAACUGGGGAGGGUCAUUCGAUACUGAUCGACUCGAAGGCAGGAGAGGGUAGUGGAAUUCCCGGUGUAGUGGUGAAAUGCGUAGAUAUCAGGAGGAACACCGGUGGCGAAGGCGGGUCUCUGGGCCGUAACUGACGCUGAGGAGCGAAAGCAUGGGGAGCGAACAGG
rnacentral:rRNA from 1 species